UACGGGGGGGGGCAAGCGUUGUUCGGAAUUACUGGGCGUAAAGGGCGCGUAGGCGGUCCGCUAAGUUAGAUGUGAAAACUCUGGGCUCAACCCAGAGCCUGCAUCUAAUACUGACGGGCUAGAGUUCUGGAGGGGGUAGCGGAAUUCCUGGUGUAGCGGUGAAAAUGCGUAGAUAUCAGGAGGAACACCGGUGGCGAAGGCGGCUACCUGGGACAGAAACUGACGCUGAGGCGCGAAAGCUAGGGGAGCAAACAGG
rnacentral:rRNA from 1 species